UGCAGUCGAGCGGUAACAUUUCAAAGCUUGCUAGAAGAUGACGAGCGGCGGACGGGUGAGUAAUGCUUGGGAAUAUGCCUUAUGGUGGGGGACAACAGUUGGAAACGACUGCUAAUACCGCAUAAUGUCUACGGACCAAAGGGGGGGAUCUUCGGACCUCUCGCCAUUUGAUUAGCCCAAGUGAGAUUAGCUAGUUGGUGAGGUAAUGGCUCACCAAGGCGACGAUCUCUAGCUGGUUUGAGAGGAUGAUCAGCCACACUGGGACUGAGACACGGCCCAGACUCCUACGGGAGGCAGCAGUGGGGAAUAUUGCACAAUGGGCGCAAGCCUGAUGCAGCCAUGCCGCGUGUGUGAAGAAGGCCUUCGGGUUGUAAAGCACUUUCAGUAAGGAGGAAAGGGAUGUAGUUAAUAACUGCAUUCUGUGACGUUACUUACAGAAGAAGCACCGGCUAACUUCGUGCCAGCAGCCGCGGUAAUACGAGGGGUGCAAGCGUUAAUCGGAAUUACUGGGCGUAAAGCGUUCGUAGGCGGUUGAUUAAGCAAGAUGUGAAAGCCCAGGGCUCAACCUUGGAACUGCAUUUUGAACUGGUCAACUAGAGUACUGUAGAGGGUGGUGGAAUUUCCA
rnacentral:rRNA from 1 species